UACGUAGGUGGCAAGCGUUGUCCGGAUUUACUGGGCGUAAAGCGUGCGCAGGCGGUUGUGCAAGACAGAUGUGAAAUCCCCGGGCUUAACCUGGGAACUGCAUUUGUGACUGCACGGCUGGAGUGCGGCAGAGGGGGAUGGAAUUCCGCGUGUAGCAGUGAAAUGCGUAGAUAUGUGGAGGAACACCGAUGGCGAAGGCAACCCCCUGGGUUAACACUGACGCUCAUGCACGAAAGCGUGGGGAGCAAACAGG
rnacentral:rRNA from 1 species